UCGCGAAAACUUUGCAAUAAGCGAAAGCUUGACAGGGCUAUCCCGAGUGCCAUCCGCUGAGGAAGGCUUUUACCCAGUCUAGAACGCUGGGGGAAUAAGGAGAGGGCAAGUCUGGUGUCAGCCGCCGCGGUAAUACCAGCUCUCCGAGUGGUGUGGAUGUUUAUUGGGCCUAAAGCAUCCGUAGCUGGCUAAGUUAGUCCCUUGUUAAAUCCACCGAAUUAAUCGUUGGAUUGCGGGGGAUACUGCUUGGCUAGGGGACGAGAGAGGCAGACGGUAUUUCCGGGGUAGGGGUGAAAUCCUAUAAUCCCGGGAAGACCACCAGUGGCGAAGGCUGUCUGCUAGAACGCGCCCGACGGUGAGGGAUGAAAGCUGGGGGA
rnacentral:rRNA from 1 species